rnacentral:rRNA from 1 species
UACGGAGGGAGCUAGCGUUGUUCGGAAUUACUGGGCGUAAAGCGCACGUAGGCGGCUAUUCAAGUCGGGGGUGAAAGCCCGGGGCUCAACCCCGGAACUGCCCUCGAAACUAGGUAGCUAGAAUCUUGGAGAGGUGAGUGGAAUUCCGAGUGUAGAGGUGAAAUUCGUAGAUAUUCGGAGGAACACCAGAAGCGAAGGCGGCCAACUGGCCCGAUACUGACGCUGAGGCGCGAAAGCGUAGGGAGCAAACAGG